AACUAAACUGUAAAAAGUGCAAACACAUCUUGUUAUGUGGACGCGGGUUCAACUCCCGUCAUCUCCACCA
rnacentral:tRNA from 2 species